rnacentral:rRNA from 1 species
UACGGAAGGCAGCAGUGGGGAAGUAUUGCACAAUGGGCGCAAGCCUGAUGCAGCCAUGCCGCGUGUAUGAAGAAGGCCUUCGGGUUGUAAAGUACUUUCAGUCGUGAAGGAAGGUGUUAAGGUUAAUAACCUUAGCAAUUAGACGUUAGCGACAGAAGAAGCACCGGCUAACUCCGUGCCAGCAGCCGCGGUAAUACGGAGGGUGCGAGCGUUAAUCGGAAUUACUGGGCGUAAAGGGCACGCAGGCGGUUAAUUAAGUUGGAUGUGAAAUCCCCGGGCUUAACCUGGGAAUGGCAUUCAAGACUGGUUAGCUAGAGUCUUGUAGAGGGGGUAGAAUUCCAUGUGUAGCGGUGAAAUGCGUAGAGAUGUGGAGGAAUACCGGUGGCGAAAGGCGGCCCCUGGACAAAGACUGACGCUCAUGUGCGAAAGCGUGGGGAGCAAACAGGGAUUAGAUACC